ACCUGGGAUAGCUCAGUUGGUUGAGUAUGAGGCUGUUAAAUUCAGGGUUGUGGGUUUGAGCCCCACUUUGGGUG